rnacentral:lncRNA from 1 species
GGAAAACUGGGAAACUCCACCUGCCAGCAGUGAAAGAUAAUAUCAUGUUCAAGGAAAGAUAUUAGGAUUUGGGAGAUUUAGGUUAUAUUUUUCUAAUUAACAGCACCCUUAAGCAAGUCUUUGGGACAAAAAUGUCUCUUAAGUGUAUGGCAAGGGAAGGGAACACUCUGCCGUGAUUAUAUCUUUAUUGCAGGACAGUAAUGGCACCUGCUGAAUGCAUAGAAACAUGACAAAUGUGAAUAAGAAAUGAUGCUGUAAUAAGAAGGGAUCACAGAGUAAAAGAAGAAAUGUCACCAUCUUCAUUCCAUUUAAAAGGCCACCUGAACACUAUUUUUGGGGACUGAUCCAUGAGUUGUGAGACUUGCUCCUGCACAGACCAGGAACAAGAUGGAGCACAGCAAUGCUGCUGCACAUUAACCUGCCACCGAAUCCUUGAGGAGGGUUUGCAGCCUCUCUCGGGACUGCAUCUGACAAUAGAGUGACUGCAUCUGACAAAAAGAGUGACAGAAGUUCUUGAUGAGAAAGGAGGAACUUCCUGACACAUUCAAAUCUCCAUCCUAUGCCCUGCUAAUGUUUUGCUGCUGUACAUUUAAAUCAGUGUGAUAUGGCUCCUUGGAACCAAUUCUUUGAGUGUCACUUUUGUGCUGAAGAAAAUCACCUCUCC